rnacentral:rRNA from 1 species
AGGUUACUGCUAUCGAGGUUCGAUUAAGCCCUGCGAGUCGAAUGUAGCAAUACAUGGCGUACUGCUCAGUAACACGUGGAUAACCUACCCCUUGAGACGGGGAUAAACCCGGGAAACUGGGUAUAAUACCCGAUAGAUCUCGACUGCUGGAAUGCAUCGAGCUCCAAAGCUCCGGCGCUCAAGGAUGGGUCUGCGGCCUAUCAGGUAGUAGUGGGUGUAGCGUACCUACUAGCCUACGACGGGUACGGGUUGUGAGAGCAAGAGCCCGGAGAUGGAUUUUGAGACACGAAUCCAGGCCCUACGGGGUGCAGCAGGCGCGAAAACUUUACAAUGCUGGAAACAGCGAUAAGGGGACCUCGAGUGCCAGGUUACAAAUCUGGCUGUCGUGAUGCCUAAAAAGCAUUGCAUAGCAAGGGCCGGGCAAGACCGGUGCCAGCCGCCGCGGUAACACCGGCGGCUCGAGUGGUAACCGUUAUUAUUGGGUCUAAAGGGUCUGUAGCCGGCCGGAUAAGUCUCUUGGGAAAUCUGGCAGCUUAACUGUCAGGCUUUCAGGAGAUACUGUCUGGCUCGAGGCCGGGAGAGGUGAGAGGUACUUCAGGGGUAGGGGUGAAAUCUUGUAAUCCUUGAAGGACCACCAGUGGCGAAGGCGUCUCACCAGAACGGACCUGACGGCAAGGGACGAAAGCUAGGGGCACGAACCGGAUUAGAUACCCGGGUAGUCCUAGCCGUAAACGAUACUCGCUAGGUGUCGGCCACGGUGCGACCGUUGUCGGUGCCGUAGGGAAGCCGUGAAGCGAGCCACCUGGGAAGUACGGCCGCAAGGCUGAAACUUAAAGGAAUUGGCGGGGGAGCACCACAACGGGUGGAGCUUGCGGUUUAAUUGGAUUCAACGCCGGAA